UACGUAGGGAGCAAGCGUUGUCCGGAAUCAUUGGGCGUAAAGCGCGCGUAGGUGGCCCGAUAAGUCCGCUCUGAAAGUCACAGGCUCAACCUGUGAAAGCGGGUGGAUACUGUCGGGCUAGAGUCCGGAAGAGGCGAGUGGAAUUCCUGGUGUAGCGGUGGAAUGCGCAGAUAUCAGGAGGAACACCAACGGCGAAGGCAGCUCGCUGGGACGGUACUGACGCUGAGGAGCGAAAGCGUGGGGAGCGAACAGG
rnacentral:rRNA from 1 species